rnacentral:rRNA from 1 species
UCAAGCUACAAAGAGCGCAAGGGGAAUGCCUUGGCACUGGGAGCCGACGAAGGACGUAGCGAUCUACGAUAAGCCACGGUGAGCCGAAAGCAGGCAUCGACCCGUGGAUUUCCGAAUGGGGCAACCUGGCUGAAUAGAACUCAGUCAACAUACGGUGAAUAAAAUAGUCGUAUGUAGGGAACCGCCUGAACUGAAACAUCUAAGUAGGGCGAGGAAAAGAAAUCAACCGAGAUUCCGCAAGUAGUGGCGAGCGAACGCGGAAGAGGCCAAACCGAGAGUAGUAAUACUUUCGGGGUUCGGACAGCGGACGGUAUGCUGAAGGUUAGCAGAAGGACAUGGGACGGUCCACCAAAGAGAGUGAAAGUCUCGUAUGCGAAAACUGAAAGCAGCCAGCUGAAUCCAGAGUACCGCCGGACACGUGAAACCCGGUGGGAAUAUGGGGGGACCAUCCUCCAAGCCUAAAUACUACCCAGUGACCGAUAGCGUAUAGUACUGUGAAGGAAAGGUGAAAAGAACCCCGGGAGGGGAGUGAAAAGAACCUGAAACCUUGUGCUUACAAGCACACAAAGCACGUCAACGUGUGAUGUGGUACCUUUUGUAGAAUGGUCCGGCGAGUGAAUGUAACUGGCGAGGUUAAGUUCUUAAGGAACGGAGCCGAAGCGAAAGCAAGUCUGAAUAGGGCGUCUUAGUCAGUUGUAUUCGACCCGAAACCGGGUGACCUAUCCAUGUCCAGGAUGAAGUUAAGGUAAAACUUGAUGGAGGUCCGAACCCACGGUCGUUGAAAUGCCCGGGGAUGAGAUGUGGAUAGCGGAGAAAUUCCAAUCGAACCCGGAUAUAGCUGGUUCUCUCCGAAAUAGCUUUAGGGCUAGCCUCGACUGAACAUUACCGGAGGUAGAGCACUGAAUGGGCUAGGGGCCGAGAGGUUACUGAACCCUAUCAAACUUCAAAUGCCGGAAAAUGAUAGUCGGGAGUCAGACUGCGUGAGAUAAGUUUCGUAGUCGAAAGGGAAACAGCCCAGACCCACAGCUAAGGUCCCAAAGUACGGUUAAGUGGAAAAGGAUGUGGAGUUGCACAGACAACCAGGAUGUUGGCUUAGAAGCAGCCACUCAUUAAAAGAGUGCGUAAUAGCUCACUGGUCGAGUGACUCUGCGCCGAAAAUUUAACGGGGCUAAAUCGUACACCGAAGCUUGGGAUGCAUCUAUGAUGCAUGGUAGGAGAGCGUUGAAUGCGGGGUGAAGUCAGAGCGAAAGCGCUGGUGGACUGCAUUGAAGUGAGAAUGCCGGAAUGAGUAGCGAGAUUUAUGUGAGAAUCAUAAAGGCCGAAAGACUAAGGUUUCAGAAGGAAGGUUCGUCCGCUUCUGGUUAGCCGGGAGCUAAGGUGAGGCCGAAAGGCGUAGCCGAUGCACAUACGGUGGAGAUUCCGUAGCCGCCGAAACAUUUAAGUAAAGGGACACUUGAGAAGUUCAUAAGCCGGGCGUUGGUAGACCCGGUCGUAAGGGUGCGAAAUUAAGUAGCUGAAGUAUGAAUGGAACAAGGCGAGAAAAGCUUUACGGAAUAUGUCAGGCGCCCGUACCGCAAACCGACACAGGUAGUCAGGAAGAGAAUUCUAAGGCCAACGGGAGAAGGGUAGUUAAGGAACUCGGCAAAUUGACCCCGUAACUUCGGGAUAAGGGGCGGUGCGUAAGCACCCGCAGUGAAUAGGUCCAGGCGACUGUUUAUCAAAAACACAGCUCUCUGCUAAAUCGAAAGAUGACGUAUAGGGGGUGACACCUGCCCGGUGCUGGAAGGUUAAGAGGAGGAGUGCAAGCUCCGAAUUGAAGCCCCAGUAAACGGCGGCCGUAACUAUAACGGUCCUAAGGUAGCGAAAUUCCUUGUCGGGU